GUCAAAAUGAAGAAUUCUUGAGAUACAUCCACGAUGUAAGUGAUCAAGGCCUCGAGCAAUUCCAAGGGAAAUCUGAUAAAGUGUUUCCCAAUUAUGUACUUGCUUUCCUCUGUUCUUUUUGGAGUAAAUGAACAUUUCAAGGGAUCCAUUUGGCAUGAAUUCAUACACGAGCUUUUCUGGAAGCCUCAGAACAAAAUCCUAAAAGACUUACGAUAUUCAUGUGCUAAGUUCGUCCAAUGCUGGCUGCCUCAUUGAUGAAUUCUUCACCAUUACCUUUGGAUUCACUCAAGACUUUAACAGCAACCAAAUGACCAUCAGCAAGUUGCCCUUUGAAUACUGCCCCAUACCCUCCUUGUCCCAGUUUGUCCUUGAAGGUGUUGGUCAUUUUCUUUGUCAUUGCAUAAUUGUAUCUUUUGGGAGUUAGGCAUCCAUAGUCCUCUAGAAACUUUUUCCACUUUCCUGGCAUUUUCAUGUUUCUUCUUCCAUAACAAGUACAAAUUGGAUGAUAAGAGUCUACUUCUAAU
rnacentral:misc_RNA from 1 species